GACGAACGCUGGCGGCGUGCCUAAUACAUGCAAGUAGAACGCUGAAGAGAGGAGCUUGCUCUUCUUGGAUGAGUUGCGAACGGGUGAGUAACGCGUAGGUAACCUGCCUUGUAGCGGGGGAUAACUAUUGGAAACGAUAGCUAAUACCGCAUAACAAUGGAUGACACAUGUCAUUUAUUUGAAAGGGGCAAUUGCUCCACUACAAGAUGGACCUGCGUUGUAUUAGCUAGUAGGUGAGGUAACGGCUCACCUAGGCGACGAUACAUAGCCGACCUGAGAGGGUGAUCGGCCACACUGGGACCGAGACACGGCCCAGACUCCUACGGGAGGCAGCAGUAGGGAAUCUUCGGCAAUGGGGGCAACCCUGACCGAGCAACGCCGCGUGAGUGAAGAAGGUUUUCGGAUCGUAAAGCUCUGUUGUAAGUCAAGAACGAGUGUGAGAGUGGAAAGUUCACACUGUGACGGUAGCUUACCAGAAAGGGACGGCUAACUACGUGCCAGCAGCCGCGGUAAUACGUAGGUCCCGAGCGUUGUCCGGAUUUAUUGGGCGUAAAGCGAGCGCAGGCGGUUUGAUAAGUCUGAAGUUAAAGGCUGUGGCUCAACCAUAGUUCGCUUUGGAAACUGUCAAACUUGAGUGCAGAAGGGGAGAGUGGAAUUCCAUGUGUAGCGGUGAAAUGCGUAGAUAUAUGGAGGAACACCGGUGGCGAAAGCGGCUCUCUGGUCUGUAACUGACGCUGAGGCUCGAAAGCGUGGGGAGCGAACAGG
rnacentral:rRNA from 1 species